rnacentral:lncRNA from 1 species
UUAGACCCAAAUUUCAUUUUUAUUCCUUAAGUCCCCAGCAACAACCGAUGUCCCAAAUAACUUGAGGAUCCAACUUUGUAUUUCUAACACUACCUAUCAACACUUUAAAAAAUGAGAUCAAAUUAUAUAAUACUCAUGACUAACAAAAAAUGAGACAAUAUUAAUUUCUAAAUAAACAAAGAUAACAAGAUAAAACUAGAAGCAGAAUAACAUAGCACCACGUCCAACUUAGCCUUUUAUAUCAAAUUCGCUCAUUAGAUGCUGAGCUUCAAACUAAUUUGGAACUCGAGAUUAGCAAGGGUCAUAGCGAGUGAGUCAUAGUAAAGAAUCCAGGAGUCAAGCAUGUGAGUCAAAGACGUCAAAAUUUCAUUAAAUUCAUCAAAAGCUAAUUGGCAACAAUAUUUACAGAAACUUAAGAAAGCAAAAGGGAGGAAAAGAACCUCGAUUUCGACUACCUCGACGACAAUACAAACCAACUUGGGGGAAUUUUGAACCAAGGACCAAAGACUCAGGCAGCAAAUCGAAAAUCUCGACCGGAAAAACUCCCUGGUAAACUCGAAACUAUGCACCGAAGAAGCUAAAAGAUAAGCUAUUCAUGGCUGUUUGUUGAAAGGAACACGAGGAUAUUUGGUGUUGAUCUUUGCUGGAGUUUUAGGUGGUGCUCGAUGGACUCCUUUGAGGUGAUUUUCGUCUGGGUUUGGGGCUGAUUUUUGGUCAAGGGAGAUGGGUUUUUCGGCAGUUUUUAAAUGCUUGUUUUCUGCAAUUUUUCACCUAAUUUCGAUACUCUUUGAGGAUGGAUUUUACAGCUGAUAUGGGGCUGUUUUGAAGCUGGUUUUUGCUGCUAUUUCAGAGGUUAUUUUCGACUAUAAAACAGAGCUAUUUUAAAGCUUUUUUUGGUGCAUUUUUGGGUGUUUUCAAGGGUGUUACCAGUGGUUUUAGGGAUGGAGAAGAAAGUGAAAUCUAUGGGUCUUUCAUUGUUAGCUCUAGAGCUCCUUAAUGGAGGUUUGAAGAAGAAGGUCUCUCGAUUUUUUCUCUUUGUUUUCCUCAAAUCUGUUUCUUCUAUCUCCCUUCAUUUUUUCUGUCCCAGAUCCCUCAG